rnacentral:sRNA from 1 species
GCCGGGGGUGGUGGCCCACACCUGCAAUUCCAGAGACUAGGGAGGCUGAGUCAGGAGGAUCACAAGAUGGAGGCCAGCCUCCACCAUUUAGUGAGAAACUGUUUCAC